AGGCGGACACUUACCUUGGUCAGAAAGAAGGUGGGCGUGUCGGAAGAUAUUACGUCACCUUAAUCGAGGAAAGCAACAAUCGCGGAUUUGAGGAGAGAACAUAUUCCUAUAAAGAAGACACAAAAGGUAGCAGUCUAAAGACUUUUAAACAGUUCCACCUUCCUGGCACGAAUGAAGAACCGGACAAACAGUCCAUGCUUGAUCUAAUAGAGGCGAUAUUGACAUGGCAAAGGCAGCUCUCGACCGACACACCGAUAUUGAUUAAAGAUGGUUCGAACUUUCAUAGAAGCGGCCUAGUUGUGGUAUUGUUGAGCGAGAUAUGUCGCAUUGUAAAGCACGACGGACAAAUAAACCUUGUUGAAACAGUUGUAUCAAUGAAGCACAAAGAGAAACAUAUUAUCCAUUGCGCUGCUCAACUAAGGAUCUGUUACGACGUGAUUUUGGCACACGUUCAGAAACCAGGAAUCUAUCAAAAUUUCUAAAAGCACGGAAUAAACACGAUGUGAUUACAUACUUUUUGAUUAAAACGCUAAGAUAUUGCUUUCUG